AUGUGGUUUAAUUCGAAGCAACGCGCAGAACUUACCAGCCUUUGACAUCCUAGGACGGCGUUCUGGAGACAGAUUUCUUCCCUUCGGGGACCUAGUGACAGGUGCUGCAUGGCUGUCGUCAGCUCGUGUCGUGAGAUGUUGGGUUAAGUCCCGCAACGAGCGCAACCCUCGUCCUUAGUUGCCAUCAUUAAGUUGGGCACUUUAAGGAAACUGCCGGUGAUAAGCCGGAGGAAGGUGGGGAUGACGUCAAGUCCUCAUGGCCCUUACAGGCUGGGCUACACACGUGCUACAAUGGCAUCUACAGUGGGCAGCUAUUCCGCAAGGAUGCGCUAAUCUCCAAAAGAUGUCUCAGUUCGGAUUGUCCUCUGCAACUCGAGGGCAUGAAGGCGGAAUCGCUAGUAAUCGCGGAUCAGCAUGCCGCGGUGAAUACGUUCCCAGGCCUU
rnacentral:rRNA from 1 species